AAUCUUUUGUAAGAAGUGCCAUCAUAGGAAAAUUCCAUUGUGAAACAACUCGACACGGUACGGAAAAGACAUACCUUUCGGUUGAUCGCGAUAUUUUGGCUCACGCAACCGCUGAUUCCCUUGCUCGUACAAGUGGAGUGACGGGGCGACAGAUCCUGCUCGGAGGAAAGACGCCACAGCUCAAAGACCGGACGGUCUUUCGCUUAUUGCGUGGGGCAGCGACCCACGCCAUUUAAACGCACCCCAUCGUCAAGUCGCCGGCUAAGUAAGCCGCAGAGCGCAGUCAGCCGGGGGCUGGAAUAAGCAAACGCCUUCCCGCUUGGGACCCUUCGCCUUCGAGGAGCACCCUAUACAGGGUUAAACAGCAGCGCGCCCCAAGGCGCGUGAAGAAGAAGCAGGAGCAAAUCAGGGAUGCUGCAAUGCUAAAGCCACCUGCGGCCUUCGUUUUCUCGGUUGCCCGAGCGCAGACCAUGCUGCAGUGAUGAAGCCAACUGCGGCCAUCGUCUUCCUGGUUGCCCAAUCGUCGGCCAAACAGAGGCAGAAUUCUUCGCCUUCGGCUGUCCUCUUCGCCCCGACUCUGUCCAGGAUUCCACUUCCAGCAGAUUCAGGGAGCACAGUUCACCAAAUCAUAGGGUUCAGCGGAGGCUAGCCUCGUCUAUUACCAUCCUAAUGUUUAAAGUAUAAAAAUCUCACAAAAUUUGUAUAUUCAUGAAGAAUAAUUAUCAGCCAACCUCAUUAACGUUCAAGUUCCCCCUGGGAGUUCGGGAAAUGUGUUCAGAAUUUGCAGUUAUAAGUAUUGUUAAGACAUCGCUAGUUCAAUUCAUUUUCGUUACACAUUCGUUAAACUCAUAUCAUGCUUAAGCAAUCUUUACAAAUAUUCACAAGCUAUUGUUGUCAGUUAAGUUCGGAUUGAAUUGUCAGGGAGAAAAUUCCCCCAAAAGUUCUGUGGCUCCACAUACAAGGAGUAGGUCGAAGUUGGGAAUUCUGAGUUGUAGCAAGAGAUAGAGUCUUCGUACUGUAAACCACCUUUCCGAAUUAACGCUUGUUUUCAGCCUACGCCGGAAGAUCGAUCUUUCGUCGUUGGAAAUUGAACAGUGAGUGAGUAAGCAUACCUUCCAAAAGUUGAAAUGUACGUAGUUUUGAAAACCAACUGAUCCUUGCCCAACCUCGCGAAUUUGAAACCUCUGGCCCCUGCCUAUUGAGGCUUUGCCUUGAGCGAUCUGAUCGUUGGCUAAUUAGAGAUGCCAUCUGCAUCCAGUCAUCGACUGAACUCCGCAUAGGAGAUCACGUUUUGUCAGCCAGACCGCCUCUUUGAUUUUCGACUCAUUCCGAAGUUAAAAGAUUUAAUGAUUUUUCCACAUUUGUGCGAAAAGCGAAAGUAACGAACUUAAAGUAUUCAAUGAUUUUCCCAUGUUAUGCGAAAAGCGAAAUUUAUGAAUAUAAUUAGAAUUUAACUCGAAUUACAGUCUUAUUAUAUAUAUACUCAAUACAUUAUCAAAUAUCUUUAUUUACCCAACCAUUACGAAUCACCUAUUUUUAGUAGUUAUUAAGAUCAUUUACUAUGUUGCCAUAUCGGAUUUAAUUUUUGUGUUGAGGAAAUAAUGUUGAAGUUUAGAUAAAAGAACAAAAUGGACUCAAUGCUA